rnacentral:rRNA from 1 species
GACGAACGCUGGCGGCGUGCUUAACACAUGCAAGUCGAGCGGUAAGGCCCUUUCGGGGGUACACGAGCGGCGAACGGGUGAGUAACACGUGGGUGACCUGCCCUCAGCUCUGGGAUAAGCCUGGGAAACCGGGUCUAAUACCGGAUAUGACUCCAUGACGCAUGUUGUGGGGUGGAAAGCCUUGUGCGGCUGAGGAUGGGCCCGCGGCCUAUCAGCUUGUUGGUGGGGUGAGGCCUACCAAGGCGACGACGAGUAGCCGGCCUGAGAGGGCGACCGGCCACACUGGGACUGAGACACGGCCCAGACUCCUACGGGAGGCAGCAGUGGGGAAUCUUGCGCAAUGGGCGAAAGCCUGACGCAGCGACGCCGCGUGAGGGAUGACGGCCUCGG